UCGGUGGGACAAGGUGGUCUAGCAGUGUGUUGUUCGACAAAUUCACACCCUGUCAGACCAUACUUGUUUUAACU
rnacentral:pre_miRNA from 1 species